GAAAAAAAAGGUCUAGUAUUGGUUAUUAACUCCACCUCAGGGUGACUUCUCUUCAGGGGCAAUUAAAUAGCAGCUCUGGGCUGCUAAGUUUAGUGGCUUUACUUGUAGGUGGCACACUUUUCUUCAAGGACAACCGCCAGUCAGAUCUGCUUUGAUUUUUACCUGAUGACACUGAGGCUGCCUCUGCAAAACCAGAUUUUGUUUGAAAUUGUAGAUGUGACCACAUCUAUGUGCUCUGACCUUUCUUCUUUAAGAACCAAGUUUUGCAUUACCAGGUAAAUGCCCUUUCAGUGGAAUUUUCAUGGAACACUGGGGACAUCCUGUGGUCAGCUUGGUUUAAGGCAGCCAGUCUUUUCAGCAACAAUCUCAGGGAAUAAAGAAAUAAAUGUCCCACAUGAAUCCUAGUUUAUUUUGCAAGAACAAGAAGAUAAAAGAAAAGAAAAGAGAAAAGAAAUACACUCUUGUUCUUAAUAAUUUUUGCAAUAUAAACCUCUUUUUUUUUGAGCAACACAGUUUUUCAGUGAACGUGGAUGGAGCAAUUAUUUUUGUCAAGGACAGAUAUUUUCCGGACACAAAAUACAGCUUCAGCAGAAUAGAGGAAGCAUGACAUCAGGCGUUGCUCCGCGAUCAUACCUGGUUCUUACCAUCUGCUAUUAAACACACACCGUUGGCCAGGCGCAGUAGCUCACACCUGUAAUCCCAGCACUUUGGGAGGCCGAGGCGGAU
rnacentral:lncRNA from 1 species